rnacentral:rRNA from 1 species
ACGAACGCUGGCGGCGUGCCUAACACAUGCAAGUCGAGCGGGAUCCAACCAGUGGCAACACUGGGGAAGAUCUAGCGGCGAACGGGUGAGUAACACGUGAGAAACUUGCCCCGGAGUUCGGGAUAACCCGAGGAAACUCGAGCUAAUACCGAAUGCCCUCUUCUGAUCGCAUGGUCGGAUGAGGAAAGAUUUAUCGCUCCGGGAGAGUCUCGCGGCCUAUCAGCUAGUUGGCGGGGUAACGGCCCACCAAGGCAUCGACGGGUAGCUGGUCUGAGAGGACGAUCAGCCACACUGGGACUGAGACACGGCCCAGACUCCUACGGGAGGCAGCAGUGGGGAAUCUUGCGCAAUGGGCGAAAGCCUGACGCAGCAACGCCGCGUGCGGGAUGAAGGCCUUCGGGUUGUAAACCGCUUUCAGCAGGGACGAAAUUGACGGUACCUGCAGAAGAAGCCCCGGCCAACUACGU